AUUGAACGCUGGCGGCACGCUUUACACAUGCAAGUCGAACGGUAACAGGGAGCUUGCUCCGCUGACGAGUGGCGAACGGGUGAGUAAUGCGUCGGAACGUGCCGAGUAGUGGGGGAUAACGCAUCGAAAGGUGUGCUAAUACCGCAUACGUACUGAGGUAGAAAGUGGGGGACCUUCGGGCCUCACCGUAUGCGAGCGGCCGACGUCUGAUUAGCUAGUUGGUGAGGUAAAGGCUCACCAAGGCGACGAACAGUAGCGGGUCUGAGAGGAUGAUCCGCCACACUGGGACUGAGGCACGGCCCAGACUCCUACGGGAGGCAGCAGUGGGGAAUUUUGGACAAUGGGCGCAAGCCUGAUCCAGCCAUGCCGCGUGUCUGAAGAAGGCCUUCGGGUUGUAAAGGACUUUUGUCCGGGAGCAAAUGCCUGGUGUUAAUAGCACUGGGAGCUGAGAGUACCGGAAGAAUAAGCACCGGCUAACUACGUGCCAGCAGCCGCAGUAAUAC
rnacentral:rRNA from 1 species